rnacentral:rRNA from 1 species
GAUGAACGCUGGCGGCGUGCUUAACACAUGCAAGUCGAACGGACAGGCCCUGCUUUUGUUGGUUGCUCGAGUGGCGAACGGGUGAGUAACACGUGAGUAACCUGCCCUUGACUUUGGGAUAACUUCUCGAAACUGCGGCUAAUACCCGAUAGGAGCUCCUGCUGCAUGGUGGGCGAUGGAAAGAUUCGGCUGUUUGGGAUGGACUCGCUGGUUAUGCGCCUGUUGGUCUGGUAGUGGAUUACCAAGCCUUUGACGGGUAGCCUGCCUGAGAGGGUGACCGGGCACAUGGGUACUGCGAUACGGACCAGAAUCCUACGGGCGGCAGCAGGGGGGAGUAUGGCGGAAUGGGGGGGAGCCUGAGGCAGAAACGCCGCGUGCGGGAUGACGUCCUUCGGGUUAUGAACAGAUGUGGACGGUGACGAAGAGUGAGUGACGGUAAUGGGUAAGGAAGCACCGGCUAACUACGUG